rnacentral:rRNA from 1 species
UACGUAGGGGGCAAGCGUUGUCCGGAUUUACUGGGCGUAAAGGAUGCGUAGGCGGAUGUUUAAGUGAGAUGUGAAAUACCCGAGCUCAACUUGGGUGCUGCAUUUCAAACUGGAUAUCUAGAGUGCAGGAGAGGAAAGCGGAAUUCCUAGUGUAGCGGUGAAAUGCGUAGAGAUUAGGAAGAACACCAGUGGCGAAGGCGGCCUGCUGGGCAGUUGCUGACGCUGAGGCGCGACAGCGUGGGGAGCAAACAGG